GAUGAACGCUGGCGGCGUGCCUAAUACAUGCAAGUCGAGCGAACAGAUGAGGAGCUUGCUCCUCUGACGUUAGCGGCGGACGGGUGAGUAACACGUGGAUAACCUACCUAUAAGACUGGGAUAACUUCGGGAAACCGGAGCUAAUCCCGGAUAAUAUAUUGAACCGCAUGGUUCAAUAGUGAAAGACGGUUUUGCUGUCACUUAUAGAUGGAUCCGCGCCGCAUUAGCUAGUUGGUAAGGUAACGGCUUACCAAGGCAACGAUGCGUAGCCGACCUGAGAGGGUGAUCGGCCACACUGGAACUGAGACACGGUCCAGACUCCUACGGGAGGCAGCAGUAGCGAAUCUUACGCAGUGGGCGAAAGCCUGACGGAGCAACGCCGCGUGAGUGAUGAAGGUCUUCGGAUCGUAAAACUCUGUUAUUAGGGAAGAACAAAUGUGUAAGUAACUAUGCACGUCUUGACGGUACCUAAUCAGAAAGCCACGGCUAACUACGUG
rnacentral:rRNA from 1 species